CCGGCAAGCACUGACUCCACAGCCGCCUGACACACGUGCCAGUUACCGCUCCACAAUAACCCCACCGCUCCGUUCACCGGAUUCACUGUUCUCCCGCACGCCUCAAAUAACAGCGAUUGAAACAAAACUACAAAAAGAAAAGGGCGUUGGGACUCGGGAACGGCGGAGAUGAGAGAGAUGAGAUCACUGCGGCCAAAAAACUUAGCUAGAAACAGGGUAGCGUUACCCUGGGCUUCAGGGGUGGGGAUCCAAUGCAGACACGACCUCAAUACGCAUGUCUCGCUGCACCCCUUUCGCAGCACUCGGCAACCAUUGCAGCUCAUAUCCACCGUCUGAUAUAAUUACUGACUGGUCUUGAUGCUUUUCGUGAUGAUCAAAUAAAAUGGUGAUAUUUUUCUUGGUGAUAAAGCAAGAGAGGAUUAGUUUUAAGUUAGGGGAAGGAGUGAGCUUUAGGGAGCGGUGAAGGUGUAUAAGAGGGCAAAAGCAGGGGGUGUGGUUCCGUGGUUAAGUUAAAAAGGCAACUGUGGUUAAGUUAAGGGUUUUUGCGGAUUGAACGGUGGGGAUUUUUUAGUGAUUUGUGGGGUCCAGGAGGGGUUUGUGGUUGUCGAGGCGAAUAUCUUCCAAACUCUGGGCACGAGCGGCUCCGUGUUUUCGCGUCUUUUGUUCUACAAGUCAAGGUACGCCAUUGGAUUUUAUUUUUUUGAGUGUUUUGAGCCGUCAGAUUGAAGUGGGUCCGCUUCCUUUUGUUUUUUCUUUUAGUUGGUUUUUUUAAGGUACGGGUACGAAGUUGAAGUCCAGUCGCCCCGUAGGUGGGAGCGUGGGAUAGAGCUGGGAAUUGAUAUCUUCUUUGUGCCUUUUAAGAGUUUGCAUAUAUUAAAUUAUUUUUUAUUUAA